rnacentral:rRNA from 1 species
UACGUAGGGGGGCAAGCGUUGUCCGGAAUCAUUGGGCGUAAAGAGCGUGUAGGCGGCCCGGUAAGUCCGCUGUGAAAGUCCAGGGCUCAACCCUGGGAUGCCGGUGGAUACUGUCGGGCUCGAGUCCGGAAGAGGAGUGUGGAAUUCCGUGGUGUAGCGGUGAAAUGCGCAGAUAUCGGGAGGAACACCGGUGGCGAAGGCGGUCUCUGGGCCUUACCUGACGCUGAGGAGCGAAAGCGUGGGGAGCGAACAGG